AUUGAACGCUGGCGGCAGGCCUAACACAUGCAAGUCGAGCGGAUGAAGGGAGCUUGCUCCUGGAUUCAGCGGCGGACGGGUGAGUAAUGCCUAGGAAUCUGCCUGGUAGUGGGGGAUAACGUCCGGAAACGGGCGCUAAUACCGCAUACGUCCUGAGGGAGAAAGGGGGGGAUCUUCGGACCUCACGCUAUCAGAUGAGCCUAGGUCGGAUUAGCUAGUUGGUGGGGUAAAGGCCUACCAAGGCGACGAUCCGUAACUGGUCUGAGAGGAUGAUCAGUCACACUGGAACUGAGACACGGUCCAGACUCCUACGGGAGGCAGCAGUGGGGAAUAUUGGACAAUGGGCGAAAGCCUGAUCCAGCCAUGCCGCGUGUGUGAAGAAGGUCUUCGGAUUGUAAAGCACUUUAAGUUGGGAGGAAGGGCAGUAAGUUAAUACCUCGCUGUUUUGACGUUACCAACAGAAUAAGCACCGGCUAACUUCGUG
rnacentral:rRNA from 1 species